AUGCAAUUCAUUUAUGUAUAUCCGGGUUGGGAAGGAUCUGCGGCUGAUGGGAGGGUGCUUCGAGAUGCUUUAUCAAGAUCAAAUGGCCUUAAGGUUCCUCGGGGGUGCUAUUAUCUAGUUGAUGCUGGGUACAAGAACUGUGAAGGGUUUCUUGCUCCAUACGGAGGGCAACGGUAUCAUCUAAAUGAUUGGAAAAACCCACCAACAAAAAAAGAGGAAUUGUUUAACAUGAUGCAUUCAUCAGCAAGAAAUGUGAUUGAGAGGACUUUUGGAUUGCUCAAGAUGCGAUGGGAUAUCAUUAGAAAUCCCUCUUAUUAUCCUUUUGAUACACAAGUUGAUAUAAUUCUGGCAUGCUGCUAUCUUCACAAUCUGAUACGACAACAAAUGCGGGUAGAUCCCUGUGAACAAUAUCUAGAUGAAUACAUGCUACGUCUUCAACAGCAGCAAGUAAAUGAGGAUGUCAUUCUGUCCACCGAAACAUCAUCCGAGUGGACUGAGAAAAGAGACAAGUUAGCUGAUGAAAUGUGGAAAGCUUGGAUAGCCAAAAGACAAGAUCGUUGA
rnacentral:rRNA from 1 species